UUUGGCAAGCGCAGGAGACACGACACGGAGGAGAUUUGUCAAUCAGGCUGCAGAAUGCAAUGCUGCACUGUGCAAUAAAAACUCAGCGAAAAAGCGAAGCAGUGACGGAUGAAAAGCGGGACCACUGUGUGCUGUUUAUUAAGGCUGUUUUAAACGGCCACAAAGGAGCAGAUUGGUUAUAAUGCAGCUGCUUCAGAGGAACAAACACUGUUUUUAUUUCAUGUGUAACACCUUUCAAUGAUGUGUUGACUAAAGUCUAUUGACCAGUAUAAGUAAAGACAUCACACACACACAUGGAAACACUGAAACCUGUUUGUGGUGCAGCAGCGGUCCCUCGCCUUUAUCUAGACUGGGUCGGCUGCUGAUCUCAAUAUAAUCAAUGUUUAAAGUUCUCAGUGUUUCUGUGUUGCUGCGUAUAGGAUCUCCCAGCAUCAUCACUGUGCUGUCCAAUCAUUGUGUGCGAGGUUACCCUUAUAGUGCGAUGUGUGUUUGCACAAAGAGAAGCAUGUGUGUCAAAUAUAAAUAAGCACAGAACAGAAACAGCUGCUCGUUUCUUCUGUUUAGAGUCAAGUUAGUGUUUUGUGUCUUUGUUUGAGGCCUGAUGUCGAGCAGAGGUGUGUGUAACUGCACUGGUCUGUUAUAUGUGUGAAGUGUGUGCUUCUCUUCAGCAUCAUCUUUGUCACUGCUGAUUCCUUUGUGUCAUCAUGUGUUGAGAAGAGAGAACAGUUAUAACGGAGGAGCAAAAGGAAGCCCUGAAAUCUGCAUCAACAAGGAAGUGUUGGCUCACCAGUGAUCCCAGCAGAGCCACUGGUUUGGCUCCAGUUGUUCUAGAUUCAAUGAUGUUGUUGCUACAGAUACAUGUCAGCAUCUUUAUUGUAGUAAAGUCUUGUAAUGUGAAGAUAGAAACAAGGCAGCAAACAGCUCCAUGAUCUGAUCUUAUGAUGUUGUUUUUAUUCCUGUCUGUCAGAACUGGAUUGGAAACUAUCAAAGGUCUAAAAACAGCCUCGACCCUCCCACAGAGCAAACUUUACACACCUCAUCUUUCAGCUACAAUCUUUGUUGCAGGGAUCUUCUGCCAAACAAGGCUGAGAGAAGAUUUCUUACAGCUGUCAUGUUGAUGCUGUUUCAGUCUUUGGGCAAACACACUCAUAUAUUAGGGCUGAUAUCAGGGCUGCACAAGUUCUUUGUGUUUGUGAUCAUGAAUAACAGAAGUGUGCCUGUUGAAGAUCAUGUUUCUGCAUUAUUAUAUGUCCUGUUAUUGUUCUGUGUUAUAUUCAGCUUUCAGCAUCCUUUCCCAGCCCCUGUUACACCAUCCAUACAAAGCCAAUCUGACUGUGAGCCAAUGUGUUUGUUUGUGUUGGAUCAAUAGAUUUGACAGACUUGGUUCAUCCAGAGGGAAACAGUCCAAAUUCAGAUCUAAUGAAAUGAUGGAGGCUGUUUCCUACCACGGUGCUGAUGUGUGACUAACAAGGCUCAUGGUCUCCAGCAGACAAGCGCCUGGAAUGAGGCCCAGUGAAAGAUAUGAAGCAGAAAUGGUGUCAUUAGGAGAAGAAGAGGAGAACAAGUCCGGCGAGGAGGCAGCAGCUCUUAAAGAUGAAACAGCAGCUCAGCCCUGAGCUCAGAGAGCUGCACAUGAAAAAGCUCCUCAAGCAGAUCCUGUCAGAGGUUUGUCAUCAACAGGAGGAACUGUUCACAUCAUAGGAUGAAGAUGCUGUCAGCUGGAUGAAGAAGGUUAUUUAAUGCAAACGUUCACACUGAAGUCAAAUUGUUGUCGUGUUGAACAGAUUCAUGUACUGAUCGUCUCCAGAAGGUUAGAAGAGCUUCAAUGAAUCAUUAGAAACAACUUACAGCUGCACAGCUGUGUCAAACACAUCUGUGUGUCAUUGUGGGAUUGUUGUGUUUCUACAUGUGACACACGUCUAAAACAUGCACACAAUCUGAACACAAACAGGGACUCAUGUGUUCCCACAGCCAGAUGCUGAGAGCCAUUUCCUUGUAGUGCUGUGUCUACAUACAUGAACCAUUAGAUGUUAUUGGAAUGAUUGUCAGCUCUGAUAGUUUCAUGUGUGUUUAGCUGGACGCUGUUUGAUCCUCGACAUGUUUAAAGGUGUCCAGUCCUGAGACACUGGGGCUGGAAACAGCUGUGAUGUCAUUGGACUGUCACACAGACAGAAGUGCAUGAAGUGAGCAGCCGAGGAGCCGCUGAUGUUUUGGAUUCAACAGCAUUUGAAAGGUCGACACAGACACGUUUGCACACAGAAAGCUGAAUCUGUCAUAUGCCACAGUGAACUCACUGUUCAGUGUUUUUCAGGAAGCUUCUUAACUGCCUCUGCUGCCAAACAAGCAGCUGAUGUCCUUGAGAAGAAGCUGAAGAAGUCUCCAACAACAAAUACAGGAAGUGGACUUUCAAAUACUAGAUUCACUUUAGACUCACA